rnacentral:rRNA from 1 species
UACGUAGGGGGCAAGCGUUGUCCGGAUUUAUUGGGCGUAAAGAGCGUGUAGGCGGUUUGUUAGGUCAGGUGUGAAAACUCGAGGCUCAACCUCGAGACGUCGGUUGAAACCAUCUGGCUAGAGUCCGGAAGAGGAGUGUGGAAUUCCCGGUGUAGCGGUGAAAUGCGCAGAUAUCGGGAAGAACACCCGUGGCGAAGGCGGCACUCUGGGACGGUACUGACGCUGAGACGCGAAAGCGUGGGGAGCGAACAGG